GGGGUCAACGGUAGCGGAACGAGCGUAGCGACGUGAGCAUAAGGAGUUGACGCCCUGGAUGCC
rnacentral:sRNA from 1 species